AGCUCCAAUAGCGUAUAUUAAAGUUGUUGCAGUUAAAAAGCUCGUAGUUGGACUUUAGGCGAGGUGGCCUGGUCUGCCGUCAGGCAGUACUGGGUUCGCCGAGCCUCACCUUCGGGGAACUAGUGCCUCGUGCGCUAGGGAACCGAGCCUUACUUUGAGAAAAUUAGAGUGUUUAAAGCAGGCUUACGCUUGAAUACUUCAGCAUGGAAUAACAACAUAGGACUUUGGUUCUAUUUUGUUGGUUUGAGGACCAAAGUAAUGAUUAAUAGGGACAGUUGGGGGCAUUAGUAUUCAGUAGUCAGAGGUGAAAUUCUUGGAUUUACUGAGGACUAACUAAUGCGAAAGCAUUUGCCAAGGAUGUUUUCA
rnacentral:rRNA from 1 species